CCGGUCAUCACUUCCGUUUCCGUUAUCAGCGUCCUGGCUGUCGUCUCCAACCUGACCCUGUUGUUCGUCAUUUUUUCCCGGAAACAGCUUCGCUCCAACGUGUUCCUGUGGAAUGUGGCUGGCAUGUGUGUCUCUAAUCUACUCUUCGGCACAAUUACCAAUGCGCUUGGUGACAGUCGUUUCAUUUACAAGGAAUGGCUCCACGGGACCAUCCUCUGUAAAGUGUUUUCUGUGUUUGACCUAACUUCGACGCACAUCAUGAGCAUGAUCCAGAUUACCAUAGUAAUCAGCCUCUUUUUGAAAGUAAAGCUGUCCCUUUCACCGCCCUCCGAUAUCACUUCACGCAUCUGGACCAUUCUCCCUUACAUUUUGUUUUCUUUACCCUGGCUCGGUGAAGUAGCAUUAAUACCAGUGGUUAUCCUGGGGGAAAUGAACGAUUUGCCAGAUUACGCAAAGAAAUACGGCUCAUUAAUGUGUUUCCAUUUUCUUGAGAAAAACACCCGACAAGCCGGCGUUGUAUUGGUCAACAUUUUCUUCUUCAUAAUCCUUGUUCUCAGCAUUGCAGUAUUCCUAUAUUACCGCUUCAAAAAAGCUUCUUACGAUCGCCUGCUGGCAGAUGACGCAAUGCGUCAGGACGAAACGUUGCGUUCCAUGUUAAUAGCGUCUCUUGCGUCAUCGGGCAUGUUUUGCCUGUUGUUUGCACCGUUUGUGUAUAUGAUGUUGCAUUUGGUCUUCUGUAGGAGUUCCUGGUGCCGGCCCAACAUAAGGUUAUUUGACGCCUUCUACGUAACCGGAUGCGUCACGUACGCCGCGACGCCUCUCGCUUGGUUCAUGCACAACGACAUCAAGUGCGUCUUUGUUGAAGUCUUAGACAAAGUAAAGGGAAAGUUGCGGUCUACACUGACUCUGUGUAGCGGCUGCUGUAGAACUAAGCUGGAGUCCAUCACUGUAGAAUGGAACCCGAAACAGAGCGAUAUAAUGAGCCAAGACAAGUAAUAAUCCAGCAGCAAAGAGAACGGUCGAAAACAAACCGAAAUAAUGAUAUCCGACACUCGAAGUUACCGAUGUAUUGGAACACUACACGAAAACAAACCAAUGUAAUGAAAAAAAAAAAACGAGUUACAAUCAAGUUUAGAGAGAGAGAAAAAAGAAUGAACACUGGAGAUAAUAAGGAGUGAAUAGUUUGUACGCAGUGCACAGCAGAUAUUUGUAAUAAACGGGGAAAAA
rnacentral:misc_RNA from 1 species